rnacentral:rRNA from 1 species
CGAGGGGUGCAAGCGUUGCUCGGAAUUAUUGGGCGUAAAGGGUAGGUAGGUGGUCUCAUUUGUCAGGGGUGAAAGCCUUGGGCUUAACCCAAGAAGUGCCCCUGAAACGGUGAGACUGGAGUCCUGGAGAGGGUCGUGGAAUUCCCGGUGUAGCGGUGAAAUGCGUAGAGAUCGGGAGGAACACCAGAGGCGAAGGCGGCGACCUGGACAGGUACUGACACUCAACUACGAAAGCGUGGGGAGCAAACAGGAUUAGAUACCCUGGUAGUCCACGCUGUAAACGAUGGGAACUAGGUUUGGUGGGUCUUGACCCCCGCCGAGCCGUAGCUAACGCGAUAAGUUCCCCGCCUGGGAAGUACGGUCGCAAGACUA